rnacentral:rRNA from 1 species
UUGCCAAGAUGUUUCAUUAUCAAAACGAAAGUCAGAGUUCGAAGGCGAUUAGAUACCGCCCUAGUUUGACCGAAAUGAUGCCAAUACCAUUCGUUGUGGAUUGGAGUUCUAAGCGAGCGGUUUCGGAAACGAAAGUCUUUCGGUUCCGGGGAAGUAUGGUGCAAAGCUGAAACUUAAAGGAAUGACGGAAGGGCACCACCAGGAGGGAGCUUGCGGCUUAAUUUGACUCAACACGGGAACCUCACCCGGCCAGCACAUCGUGAGGAUUGACAGACCGAUCUCUUUCAUGAUUCGGUGGAUGGUGGUGCAUGGCCGUUCUUAGUUCGUGCUAACGAAGUGUCUGCUUUAUUGCGAUAACGAGCGAGACGCCGACUGCUAACUAGUGCGUCGAUUGAUUCGUUUGUCGACGAUCAUUUCUUAGCGGGAUUCGUGGUUCUUAGCCUCAAGAAAUGGCGCAAUAACAGGUCUGUGAUGCCCUUAGAUGUUCGGGGCCGCACGCGUGCUACAAUGGUGGUAUCAGCGUGAUUGUCCUACUCCGAGAGGAGAUGGCAAACAGUUGAGAUAUUAUUAUGGCUGGAAUUGAGUGGCAAAAGUUGCACUCAUGUACGAGGAGUCCCAAGUAAGUGCCAAA